ACCUACUAGUUUUGUAUAAAUUGGUGCUAUAGACCAGGAAUUGUUUUAUUUCUGGUUACUUUUAACAAUGAGAGCAAACUAUUUAUCCAGGAUGAGAGUAUUGAUUUUUCUAAUCUUUGUCUGCUUCGCUGCUACCACCACCUCCCAGAGCACUUCUUACACGGAGUGUGUAAGGACCUGUAAAGAGAACUUUUCCAAAUGUUUAAGAUCCUGCAAACCGCCCAGCUACUCUUGUAUAGCAAGUUGUAAUAGAAAUCUUCAACGGUGCCUUACUAUUUGCCUUUGGAGGUUAUUUUUAGCAGCACCAAUCACAAAAGCUUUAAUGAAUAAAUAAAAAAAAUCUAACAUCUUA